rnacentral:lncRNA from 1 species
UUUGUAAUUUCAACAGUCAGGAGAUUGAGUCUAGAAGGAUUGUGAACUCAAGGGUAAGCUAAGCUGUGUAGUGAGCUCAAACAUUCAUGUCCAACUUGGCUAUAUGGUUAACUGAGACAAACUAACAGAUAAGCAGAUAUGUUAUUAACUUGUAGUUUUUAACAGUAAAAGGUGGGUGGAGUCAUUAGCUAGCAUUCACUGUUUUCUUUAUACUUGCAAAUAAAAAUAAUUGGAGUUUAGGAAAAAUAUAGUUAUACAAUACCAAUUAGAAAAAGUUAUGUGAAUUUUAAUAUACUGGAAUUUGAAACUAUUUCUUCUUCCUCUUCCUCACUUUAAAAGGAUUCUCCAAACCUCUUAAAUCCAUGAAUACCUAAGAAGUUUUACUUAGAGUUGCUUGGUAUUUUUAGUUAGUUACAUUUCAGUGAAAGUGUGUAGAGCAGGCUAAUUUUCUAAAGCCAUUUCAAAUUAUAAUUAGUAGGAGUAAGUUCUGGUGAGCUGUUCUAGAGUGUCUAGAAAGACAAAUUUUUUUAUGUUUUUACUGUAAAGAAUAAAUGGUUGAGAGAGUUGGAUCUGAUUUAAAUGUCACAGUAUGUGCACACAUUGAAACAGCACAAGUACCUAACAGUUUGCAUAGUGUUUAUGCACCAGUUAAAAAUGUAAAAGGUAGGGGUUGGGGAUUUAGCUCAGUGGUAGAGCGCUUGCCUAGGAAGCGCAAGGCCCUGGGUUCGGUCCCCAGCUCCGAAAAAAAAGAAAAAGAAAAAGAAAAUUUAAAAGG